GGGUUGUGAGGUUAAGCGACUAAGCGUACACGGUGGAUGCCCUGGCAGUCAGAGGCGAUGAAGGACGUGCUAAUCUGCGAUAAGCGUCGGUAAGGUGAUAUGAACCGUUAUAACCGGCGAUUUCCGAAUGGGGAAACCCAGUGUGAUUCGUCACACUAUCAUUAACUGAAUCCAUAGGUUAAUGAGGCGAACCGGGGGAACUGAAACAUCUAAGUACCCCGAGGAAAAGAAAUCAACCGAGAUUCCCCCAGUAGCGGCGAGCGAACGGGGAGCAGCCCAGAGCCUGAAUCAGUGUGUGUGUUAGUGGAAGCGUCUGGAAAGGCGCGCGAUACAGGGUGACAGCCCCGUACACAAAAAUGCACAUAUUGUGAGCUCGAUGAGUAGGGCGGGACACGUGGUAUCCUGUCUGAAUAUGGGGGGACCAUCCUCCAAGGCUAAAUACUCCUGACUGACCGAUAGUGAACCAGUACCGUGAGGGAAAGGCGAAAAGAACCCCGGCGAGGGGAGUGAAAAAGAACCUGAAACCGUGUACGUACAAGCAGUGGGAGCACGCUUAGGCGUGUGACUGCGUACCUUUUGUAUAAUGGGUCAGCGACUUAUAUUCUGUAGCAAGGUUAACCGAAUAGGGGAGCCGAAGGGAAACCGAGUCUUAACUGGGCGUUAAGUUGCAGGGUAUAGACCCGAAACCCGGUGAUCUAGCCAUGGGCAGGUUGAAGGUUGGGUAACACUAACUGGAGGACCGAACCGACUAAUGUUGAAAAAUUAGCGGAUGACUUGUGGCUGGGGGUGAAAGGCCAAUCAAACCGGGAGAUAGCUGGUUCUCCCCGAAAGCUAUUUAGGUAGCGCCUCGUGAAUUCAUCUCCGGGGGUAGAGCACUGUUUCGGCAAGGGGGUCAUCCCGACUUACCAACCCGAUGCAAACUGCGAAUACCGGAGAAUGUUAUCACGGGAGACACACGGCGGGUGCUAACGUCCGUCGUGAAGAGGGAAACAACCCAGACCGCCAGCUAAGGUCCCAAAGUCAUGGUUAAGUGGGAAACGAUGUGGGAAGGCCCAGACAGCCAGGAUGUUGGCUUAGAAGCAGCCAUCAUUUAAAGAAAGCGUAAUAGCUCACUGGUCGAGUCGGCCUGCGCGGAAGAUGUAACGGGGCUAAACCAUGCACCGAAGCUGCGGCAGCGACGCUUAUGCGUUGUUGGGUAGGGGAGCGUUCUGUAAGCCUGCGAAGGUGUGCUGUGAGGCAUGCUGGAGGUAUCAGAAGUGCGAAUGCUGACAUAAGUAACGAUAAAGCGGGUGAAAAGCCCGCUCGCCGGAAGACCAAGGGUUCCUGUCCAACGUUAAUCGGGGCAGGGUGAGUCGACCCCUAAGGCGAGGCCGAAAGGCGUAGUCGAUGGGAAACAGGUUAAUAUUCCUGUACUUGGUGUUACUGCGAAGGGGGGACGGAGAAGGCUAUGUUGGCCGGGCGACGGUUGUCCCGGUUUAAGCGUGUAGGCUGGUUUUCCAGGCAAAUCCGGAAAAUCAAGGCUGAGGCGUGAUGACGAGGCACUACGGUGCUGAAGCAACAAAUGCCCUGCUUCCAGGAAAAGCCUCUAAGCAUCAGGUAACAUCAAAUCGUACCCCAAACCGACACAGGUGGUCAGGUAGAGAAUACCAAGGCGCUUGAGAGAACUCGGGUGAAGGAACUAGGCAAAAUGGUGCCGUAACUUCGGGAGAAGGCACGCUGAUAUGUAGGUGAAGUCCCUUGCGGAUGGAGCUGAAAUCAGUCGAAGAUACCAGCUGGCUGCAACUGUUUAUUAAAAACACAGCACUGUGCAAACACGAAAGUGGACGUAUACGGUGUGACGCCUGCCCGGUGCCGGAAGGUUAAUUGAUGGGGUCAGCGCAAGCGAAGCUCUUGAUCGAAGCCCCGGUAAACGGCGGCCGUAACUAUAACGGUCCUAAGGUAGCGAAAUUCCUUGUCGGGUAAGUUCCGACCUGCACGAAUGGCGUAAUGAUGGCCAGGCUGUCUCCACCCGAGACUCAGUGAAAUUGAACUCGCUGUGAAGAUGCAGUGUACCCGCGGCAAGACGGAAAGACCCCGUGAACCUUUACUAUAGCUUGACACUGAACAUUGAGCCUUGAUGUGUAGGAUAGGUGGGAGGCUUUGAAGUGUGGACGCCAGUCUGCAUGGAGCCGGCCUUGAAAUACCACCCUUUAAUGUUUGAUGUUCUAACGUGGACCCGUGAUCCGGGUUGCGGACAGUGUCUGGUGGGUAGUUUGACUGGGGCGGUCUCCUCCUAAAGAGUAACGGAGGAGCACGAAGGUUGGCUAAUCCUGGUCGGACAUCAGGAGGUUAGUGCAAUGGCAUAAGCCAGCUUGACUGCGAGCGUGACGGCGCGAGCAGGUGCGAAAGCAGGUCAUAGUGAUCCGGUGGUUCUGAAUGGAAGGGCCAUCGCUCAACGGAUAAAAGGUACUCCGGGGAUAACAGGCUGAUACCGCCCAAGAGUUCAUAUCGACGGCGGUGUUUGGCACCUCGAUGUCGGCUCAUCACAUCCUGGGGCUGAAGUAGGUCCCAAGGGUAUGGCUGUUCGCCAUUUAAAGUGGUACGCGAGCUGGGUUUAGAACGUCGUGAGACAGUUCGGUCCCUAUCUGCCGUGGGCGCUGGAGAACUGAGGGGGGCUGCUCCUAGUACGAGAGGACCGGAGUGGACGCAUCACUGGUGUUCGGGUUGUCAUGCCAAUGGCACUGCCCGGUAGCUAAAUGCGGAAGAGAUAAGUGCUGAAAGCAUCUAAGCACGAAACUUGCCCCGAGAUGAGUUCUCCCUGACCCUUUAAGGGUCCUGAAGGAACGUUGAAGACGACGACGUUGAUAGGCCGGGUGUGUAAGCGCAGCGAUGCGUUGAGCUAACCGGUACUAAUGAAC
rnacentral:rRNA from 1 species